rnacentral:rRNA from 1 species
GGGUAUUGGCGGCUGCUUUAACAUGCAAGUCGAACGGCAGCACGGGCUUCGGCCUGGUGGCGAGUGGCGAACGGGUGAGUAAUGCAUCGGAACGUGCCCAUGUCGGGGGGAAUAACGUACCGAAAGCUACGCUAAUACCGCAUACGCCCUGAGGGGGAAAGCGGGGGAUUCUUCGGAACCUCGCGCGAUUGGAGCGGCCGAUGUCGGAUUAGCUAGUAGGUGAGGUAAAGGCUCACCUAGGCGACGAUCCGUAGCGGGUCUGAGAGGAUGAUCCGCCACACUGGGACUGAGACACCGCCCAGACUCCUACACGAGGCAGCAGUGGGGAAUUUUGGACAAUGGGGGCAACCCUGAUCCAGCCAUGCCGCGUGAGUGAAGAAGGCCUUCGGGUUGUAAAGCUCUUUCGGCCGGGAAGAAAUCGGCGACUCUAACAUAGUCGCUGGAUGACGGUACCGGACUAAGAACCACCGGCUAACUACGUGCCAGCAGCCGCGGUAAUACGGUGGUGCGAGCGUUAAUCGGAAUUACUGGGCGUAAAGCGUGCGCAGGCGGUUUUGUAAGACAGAUGUGAAAUCCCCGGGCUUAACCUGGGAACUGCGUUUGUGACUGGAGGCUAGAGUACGGCAGAGGGGGGGUGGAAUUCCACGUGUAGCAGUGAAAUGCGUAUAGAUGUGGAGGAACACCGAUGGCGAAGCCGCCCCCUGGGCCUGUACUGACGCUCAUGCACGAGUGCGUGAGGAGCAAACAGGAUUACAUACCCUGGUAGUCCACGCCCUAAACGAUGUCUACUAGUUCGUUCAGAGCACAAUGCACUGAGUGACGCAACUAACGCGUGAAGUCGACCUGCCUGAGGAGUACGGCCGCAUGAUAAUAACUCAAAGUGAAUUGACGACCCACCCCGCACAAGCGGAUGAUGAUGUUGAUUAAUAUCGCAUGCCACGCGAACAUUCCUUACCGACUCCAUUGACAUCGUCAUGGCAUCGUGGUGAAGAGCCGAGGCUGCCUUUAGGUAGCCAGAACGCAGUGCAUGCAUGCUGUCAGCCAGCUCCUGUCGAGGC